rnacentral:rRNA from 1 species
GACAGAGGUGCCAAGCGUUAGGCGGAAUCACUGGGCUUAAAGCGUGUGUAGGCGGGUUUGUAAGUACCUUGUGAAAUCCCAUGGCUCAACCAUGGAACUGCUCGGUAUACUGCGAAUCUUGAGCACUUAGGGGCUACCGGAACAAAUGGUGGAGCGGUGAAAUGCGUAGAUAUCAUUUGGAACGCCAAUGGUGAAAACAGGUAGCUGGGAGUGUGCUGACGCUGAGACACGAAAGCCAGGGGAGCGAACGGG